AUCCUGCAUUACUAUAAGAGACGAGAGCUCAUCGUUCAUUCUCAGAAUGGCUGGGCAGAGGGGCUAAAGGCAGAGCUACAGGUACUGAGCCUCUCUGCGAAAUGGCGCCCCGGAGGCACUUCGCUUAGGCUAGCCCUAUGAGACCUAGGGGACAAGCGUUGAAAACUAGGGUGAUGAACAUUGAGCAGAAGGGUCACUGUCCCUAACCCAAGAUCUAGGUGGGAAAUAAGCUGGUGACCCCAAUGAAGAGGAUAUAUAAGAAGGAGCCGAGCAUCUGGUACUUUCUCUGAUCUGCUCUCUGAGCCUCAGCCUGGGCCUUGUCCUUUGGAUGAAACACCUACAGCAGCUACCUUCGGAGUCAAGACACAUUCAGCAUAUGGGGUUCCUAGCCAGGGAAGUCAACGGACACUAACUGAACACUAGCCUCUUGCAAAUCACAAUAUAAAACAUGGGGCUGGACACCAUGGGGGAAUCCCAGGAACCCUUGGUCUUUGCCCCCAAGAAAUUAACAGCUGAGUUAUGGAAAUAAAGCCAUUUAAAUGUUCAAUGAAAAUUCAAGCUAUGUGUUAUUAUCCAAAAGUGAGGGUGGAAUCAUUAAUGAUCUAAAAGGAGGAAGAGAAGCAGCAAUUUUGUGGAAGAUGUAGGUCCAGGGCUUUGAACAAGGCUUGGAAGGCUCCUGGUGGGCAGAUA